GUGCUCACUUCGGCAGCACAUGUACUGAAAUUAGAACAAUAUAGAGAAGAUUAACUUGGCCCCUGUGCGAGGAUGACACACACAUUCGUGAAGCAUCUCAUUUAAAA